UUACUGCUCCCUCCGUUCCAAAUUAUUCGUCGCAGAAAUGGAUGUAUCUAGAACUAAAAUAUAUCUAGAUACAUCCAUAUCUGUGACAAGUAAUUCGAAACGGAGGAAGUACAUA
rnacentral:pre_miRNA from 1 species